rnacentral:rRNA from 1 species
ACGCACGCUGGCGGCGUGCUUCACCCAUGCCAGUCGAACGUGAUUUUUGUGGAAAUUCUUUCGGGAAUGGAAAUGAAAUGAAAGUGGCGAACGGGUGAGUAACACGUGAGCAACCUACCUUACACAGGGGGAUAGCCGUUGGAAACGACGAUUAAUACCGCAUGAGACCACAGAAUCGCAUGAUAUAGGGGUCAAAGAUUUAUCGGUGUAAGAAGGGCUCGCGUCUGAUUAGCUAGUUGGAAGGGUAAAGGCCUACCAAGGCGACGAUCAGUAGCCGGUCUGAGAGGAUGAACGGCCACAUUGGAACUGAGACACGGUCCAAACUCCUACGGGAGGCAGCAGUGGGGAAUAUUGCACAAUGGGGGGAACCCUGAUGCAGCGACGCCGCGUGAGCGAAGAAGGUUUUCGAAUCGUAAAGCUCUGUCCUAUGAGAAGAUAAUGACGGUAUCAUAGGAGGAAGCCCCGGCUAAAUACGUG